AUGAAUUGACGGGGGCCCGCACAAGCGGUGGAGCAUGUGGUUUAAUUCGAUGCAACGCGAAGAACCUUACCUGGUCUUGACAUCCACAGAACUUUCCAGAGAUGGAUUGGUGCCUUCGGGAACUGUGAGACAGGUGCUGCAUGGCUGUCGUCAGCUCGUGUUGUGAAAUGUUGGGUUAAGUCCCGCAACGAGCGCAACCCUUAUCCUUUGU
rnacentral:rRNA from 1 species